UGAAAAAGAAAAGAAGGAAAGAAAAGAAACGCCGCGGUGAGAGGAGAAGCUCCUGCGACAUUUUUGGAGGAGGAGGAGGAGCCGCGUCUGCUACAGCUCGCGCGCACAGGAGAAUCGGUCACAGCAUCCGCGAGGUCGCGGAAGGAGCUGGUGCCUAUCUCUAGCGGUCAUUUGGCGAGAGGUGUGGUACACCUGGACAGGGUGUUCAACUAUUCUGUCAACUUGAUGGACUUUUACAUUCAGAGCUCAGACUAUCUCUCAGGAACUAACAACUUGAUGGACUUUUACAUUCAGAGCUCAGUCUAUCUCUCAGGAACUAACUUGUCAAAUGAUUUAGUGUCAAAUAAAUAUUUAAAAUUGAGCACAAAGAAAAGGUUUGGGAUUAUCAUUGGGCACAUUGUUGCCGUCAGUUGUGACAAACUCAGAGUAAUAGUUUAUUCUCUCCAUACCUUCACUGGUCACUUUAUUGGGUACGAUUUAUGGUAAUAGGAUGGACCCUAGGUUGCUUUUACAAAUGCCUUAAGUCUUCACAGCACAUAUUCAACAGUGUCUGAAACGUUACUGUGAGAUCAUGGUCCAUAUUGACGUGAAAAGAUCACACAGCUGCUGCUGAUUUGACAGCUGCGCAUGGAUGAUGAAAAUCUCCUGUUGGACCACAUCCUAAAAGUGCUCUGCUAGAUUGCGAUGUGGGGCCCAUUUGAGUACAGUGAACUUAUUGUCAUGUCAUAGACUUAAUCUGAUGUUUGCAACACUGUGCAAUUUUCGACUAGAAGUAGCCGUCAGAUAGGUAGACUGUGGUCAAAAAGGGAUGGACAUGGUCAGCAACAAUAUUCAGGCAGGCUGUGGUGUUUAAACGAUGGUCAGUUGUACCAAGGGGCCUUAAGUCUGUCAAGAAACAAUUUCGCGUGAAAUUACACCACUACCACCAGGGUGAAUCAUUGAUGCAAUGCUUUCAUGUUGUUUACACCAAAUUCUGACCCUACCAUCUGAAUGUCAAACCUGAACUUGAGACUAAUCAGACCAGGCAAUGUUUUUCCAAGCGUUUAUUAUUAAGUGUUGGUGAGCUUGUGUGAAUUUUAGCAUCAGUUUCUUGUUCUUAGCUUUAAGGCGCAGUGGCUGCUUUUUUGUUCUGCUGCUAAGGUCCAUCUGUUUCAAGGUUCCACAUGUUGUGCACUCAGAGAUGGCGUUCUGCAUACAUUGGUUGUAACAAGUGAUUAUUUCUAUAGUCUGGAACCAGUCUGCCUGUUCUCAUCAGCGAUGUAUUUUCUUCCACAGAACUGGUGCUUACGGGAUAUUUUCUGUUUUUCAGACCUGUCUGAAGGAAACAACCAACUCACAUUCAAAGUAACUUAAAUUCAACUUGUCCCCAUUCUGAUGCUCGCUUUGAACUUCAGCAAAUUAUCUUCACCAGAUCUAGAUGCCCGAUUGUAUUGAGUUGCUGCGAUGUGACUGGUUGCAUCUCUAAUUAUGUUUGCAAGCAAUUGAACAGGUGUUCCUAAAAAGUGUUCGGGAUUCCAGCAUCUUUUGAGAUUAACCAAAAGCCUUUGAGUACAACUAAUUUCUGGACCAUUUAAUGUAAGAACAGGUAUUCCUAUAUUCAUACCUACACUGCUGAUUUCUGUGCCCGCUUCUAUAGACACAAUGAAGCCAGUUUAACACAUUUUUCUUCCUCUUUCUCUUUGUCCUGACUCUGUGACCACUAAAACUCCAGACCUCUGGAUUUCCACAAGUAAAACAAUAACAACUUCAAAAGUAGAUUCUUUGUAUCUUACAUAAAAUAUGUGAUUAUCUGAAAUAAAAGUCUUUGAAAAUCA